AUAGGUCUGCGCAUUACAAUACUCAUGCUCAAAUCAUGCAGGGCAUCAUCCAUCUGACCGCAGCAACUGUCCUGCCUUCAACAAACAUUGUAAGCAUGUGGGAAGUGGAACCACUUCUCUAAGUGUUGCAGGUAAACUAAGUUGCAUGCCAGGCCAGUGCAAUCCUCAGCCCAGUUCAAUUAAUCACAACCCAAAGCAAGCAGGAGCAGGUGUUCACAUAAAAUAAACAAGCUUGACACGCACGAGACAGCACAGGAACCAACAGACCUGUUCUACUGUGAAAACAUGGAGAUGCCAGCACAGAGAGCAGCCCUUACCAUCCCCGAUCAAAUGGCCUAGCAGAGAGGGCCAUGCGUUCAGCCAAACAACUGCUGGAGAAAUGUACACGUGAUGGCAUGGACAUAUACACAGCUCUGCUGAACCUACACAAUGCACCAAGAGAUGGACUGACGUCACCAGCUCACCGUCUGCUAUCUCGGCGCACCAAGGCACUCAUUCCCAUGAUCAAGGGUAUGUACAUCCCCAAUUGCAAGGUAGAGACACGAGGUCAGGCAGCUCUAAUGUAGGCCAGACAGAGGGGAAAAGCACACUAUGACCGAUCAGCCAGACCGCUGGUCUCAUUGCACACAGGACAAACGGUACAAGUUCAAACACGCAGAGGAUAUGACACAUUAGCAACAGUACUUGGAAGAGUGUGACAGCCUAACAGCUACCAGGUCCGGGAUGCAGAUGCUAUGUAUGUGAGGAACAAGCGUUAACUCCUCCAGAUACCUGAAUUUUCUUUGGCCACUGCAGAGCCCCCAACAGACACAAAGGCUGACAUUGUUGACCCAGUAGUGGCGCAGGCAGACGAAUCUGUGGUCAUCACACGCUCGGGGAGAAUAUCGAAACCCGAUACAAGGAUUACACGGCUUAGUUUGAACCAUUACACGCAAAAGUGUGCUCUAGUUGUUUACUGUUGUACUCUAUGAUCUGUUAUUUUCCUCCUCUUGGAGAUUUGCUAGUUCUGUUGGCAUGUUGACAUAUUUCACCCUUCUUACAUUUGUUAGGAGUUUAUGCACAUGGCACCCCCAUGUUAUUCAGUCUUCAAGAAGGGGGAUGUAGAUUGGUUACUGUUACCAAGACAACCAUCCCUGUUUAGGAUAUGACGUCAGUGGCUAGAGCAGGCUGGGAUACUGGAGGGGAAAGAACAAGCUGUGCGUACUGAAUAAAGGAUCCAGACUAGUUCUUACACAGCUCAUGAGUGUUUGUGGUCUGUGUGUGCACAUCUACAAGAAGGAAGUGAAGCAGGCUGUUUAGAAAUUUCUAAACCGUUAUGUAACAGUCUUAACCACGCCCCCAAAUGUAACAUCUGCUAGUCCACUUUCAAGCUCAAUCGGCAUGCAGGUUCUGCAGGUAUUGUGAAGAACAACAGUGAAAAUGGCAGGCUGCGUUCAUAAUUGUUCCGUUUGAGGAUGUGACCAGGAUGUCGGCAUCUUUCACACCCUUCCCAAGGAACCGAACUGUCAACAGGCAUCUUUAACAGAUUCAUCGGACUCUUUAUUUGUCCAGCUGAUAGAGCUGAACUCAACGUCAAACCCAAAGGCCCCUAGAUGUGGAGAGGAAGACAAUUUAUUCCCAACUCCCCAUAUUCUCCACAUGGUGAUGCAGCUGGCUUUGGGCAAACCGAAGGCACCGAUGAACUCACCGAGGAGCCCUUGGCACCCUUGG